CGCUUCGCAUUAUUCAUUGAUAAAAACGUCGGAGACACAUUGAAGACGAUUAUUCAGAGUUAAAAUUGUCUCGUGGAAUAAAUUCUCGAUUUGUGUAUUCGUAAAAGGCGGCGGGAUAAGUUUCUCAUUUUUUAAAUAAUGCAUCGGUACAUUCGGUGAAUAUGAUUUGCUGUCAGACAGUCUCCUCACAAAACAAGCAUUUCGGGAUGAACGAGAAGACGGCGAAAAGAAAUAAAAGAACGCAGAAAUUGGCCUGUCGGUCGAUCAACCCGUUUAUACACUACUAUUGGCAGCUACGUGAUUCUCUCGGCGGAUAUUAUUCCUCGCAAAUGAUCGGUAAGAUCGCGGCGUACCGCUGGGAAUUCAUGCGGUAUCAUGACAAGCUGCCAUUCAGGCCGCCAAACAGCAGUUAUUCCGCCGAAGAAGAGCAGCAAGAUCUCGCAAAUACUGAGAAAAUUUUUUCAUUUAUUAAAGUAGAAACAUAUUUUUAUACGCUUUUUUGUUAACAUAUACAUGAUCAAAGUACAAGAAAUCCAUUUCCGCAUAUGCCACCGUGAAUAUCUCCAGUAAUUUCCUGCGAAGCGAAUCUGGCAUCAAUCUCCGUUUCACCUAUCAGGUUCGAGUAUAAAACUGUAAUUGGCAUUUCCUCUGCGCGAUAGGAUCGCAAAAUAUAUACCUGCUGUAAUUCUUCUGAUCCACCUAGGCGCAAUCUAUCCUUGCUCUGACAUAAGACUCGCACACAUGCACGAACACACAUACACAUCUUUUUAUAUCAUGAAAAAUUCAAAAGGCAGCAUGAAGUUCCAAUACAUUCAUACCAUCAAGGAGUUUGAGUUGCUCCCAAGAAAAGCGAUAAAGCCGCGAUCAUAAAUUCUUACCGAUACACAUAGAUCGUUGGUACCGUUGUUACAUGUCAAACAUUGUUAGCCGCCCGAAACGCAUCCAUGUAUAAAGUUUCGCUAUGAAACUAUGGGUAUGUACAUUUCCCUUGUUUACGAUCAUUGUAUAAUGUUUGCAAUGAAUAUAAAUUAUAGUUGUCGCGAUAUCUGCUGUUAUAUCUUGACGCUGAAAAUCAUGCGAGGAUCGACUGUUUGUCAGAAAGAUUAAUCGGUUAUCUCUGUAAUGUAUCGGUAUAAUAUAUUGGUAAUUAGUAUCAUGACGUUAUUUGCAAUAAAUCGCAUUUCCAUGUGUACAUUAAUUUUCUCAUU